UAGCUUAGUGGUAGAGUGCUUGUCUAGCAUGCAUGAAGUUCUGGGUUCGAUUCCUUG
rnacentral:tRNA from 1 species